rnacentral:rRNA from 1 species
AUUGAACGCUGGCGGCAUGCCUUACACAUGCAAGUCGAACGGCAGCACGGGGCAACCUGGUGGCGAGUGGCGAACGGGUGAGUAAUGCAUCGGAACGUACCUUUCAGUGGGGGAUAACGUAGCGAAAGUUACGCUAAUACCGCAUAUUCUGUGAGCAAGAAAGCAGGGGAUCGCAAGACCUUGCGCUGAUUGAGCGGCCGAUGUCAGAUUAGCUAGUUGGUGAGGUAAAGGCUCACCAAGGCGACGAUCUGUAGCGGGUCUGAGAGGAUGGUCCGCCACACUGGAACUGAGACACGGUCCAGACUCCUACGGGAGGCAGCAGUGGGGAAUUUUGGACAAUGGGGGCAACCCUGAUCCAGCCAUGCCGCGUGAGUGAAGAAGGCCUUCGGGUUGUAAAGCUCAUUCGGCCGGGAAGAAAUCGCACGGGCUAAUACCCUGUGUGGAUGACGGUACCGGAAUAAGAAGCACCGGCUAACUACGUGCCAGCCGCCGCGGUAACAC